rnacentral:lncRNA from 1 species
GAGUAAUAAGAAAUCAAAACUUUUUUACCAACUCUGAAAUCUCUGACUCCGACUCCCGUGGGAGUUUAUCUCCAACCUUCGGCUCCAUCCUUGGAGAUUCACAGCUGCCACGUUGCUUCCCGAUCGGUAUAUUACAAACUUCUCAUGCAAAUUUCUCAACGUAACCACGUUGGGAUAGUUACGAGCGUGUCGUCGCCAAGUCAGAGCCAAUGACUCUGCAAAGCAUCCUUGUAUUCCUUCGUUGAUCUUAGUGCGAAGUAAUUUCCGACAACGAUCGAUAUUUUGAGUCCUUUCAUGCCCCAUCUUAACUCCGCGAAGCUUCAAAACUCCCUUAUCGUUGUUUUCUUACCAAGGACCCUGGCAAUCACCGCGUACUUCAAUACCUUCUCGAGCUUCUUCUCCGGAAUAAACGCAUAAGGCUUGUUUUUUUUAUAUAAUCAGAGGUUUGUGAUAGCACAAAUUUCUUAUUGGUUGUGGCUGGAGGGCCGACUCCCAAGUGUAGCUGGAUUCCUUUUCAUUAUCCAUCGAGGUUGUUGAGAGGCGCGGGAUAUAGGAAGGGUCUCAAGGAUUUUCUUUACGUUAGUAAAUAAUUUUCCCAUAAAGAGACAUGGGUAGGAACUCUUUGGGUAGGAAAGCCAAGACAACAAGGUGUGAGGAUCAGGCGAUGAAGAGACUCUAUGAUCUUUUCAGAAAGGCUUAACCACGCAAGUUGUGGAACGGAACUCCAGAGGUAAUAAAAGGCUUUGAAGAAUGGUUGGGUAAUGCUCUAGCGAGGUCCUAUCGACCUGCCAGAGUUCGAUCUACAAGUGCCACUCAGCUGCCUCUCUUUGGCAUCACAUUUACUAAAAGAACACAUCGAUGGAUAUUUAAUUAAUUACGACGCACUUCAGGUGUGCUAAGGCUCAAAGCGCUAUAUUUGCG